CUCUCUUUCUAUUUUUCAUUCUAGGUUCAGCCGAGAGAAGAGAAAAACUUUUCUCUUCUUCUUCUUCGCAAAUCUGCUUAGAUUUUAGGUUUUUCUUGAAAUUAAAACCAUCUUUCCAACAAAUCUUAUAAUCUAAUCAAAACCCAUCUUCAAGAAAUGUCGAUCUACAAUCUAUAAUUUUUUCCUAAACCUAAUUUUUUCCAUGAAAUCUAAAAUCAAAUCAUACAACCUCCGAUUCAGCAGCAGUUUGUUGGAUUAUCAUCAGGUCAAUAUGGUGAUCAGUGGUGGUAAGGGUUAAGCAAAUAAUACAAUCGUGGCUUUUGUUUUGUUGUAUACUGGUGAAAAUCUAACAACUUUGUUGUUGUAUGAAAAGGAGAUCAGAAUGGAGUUCAACUGCAUCUAUCAAGCCAUUUACUUAGCAGUUUCUACAACUGAUGGAGAAACCAAUUAUUGGAUGUGGAUGCUGGUGGUGGGUUUCCGUGGUGGGAAUGGACACAUCCUCUUCCUUCGCAGUUUGAAAUCAUGCAACACAGUUGAAGUCACUAUCUCCUAGGGUCUGGAGAUUUAAUUACGACCAGUAUGAUCUUUAUUGUAAUAUUACGGAUGAACAAUUAAUCGACGUAGGAACUCGAUUAUAGGCGACGACAGAAAGGAACUGGAGGAGUAAAGAAGCCCUUAUGCCUCUUUAAGAGAAAGUAAAGCCGAACGAAGCUACCUUACCAAAACUAUUGGCGACAAUGGACGGUAGUAGUAGUCUUGACUGCAGUCUCCAGUAAGAAAGAUUUGCACAAUCAACUGAGAAAUUUUCCUUCUUGGGUUCAAUUUCUUUAUUUUCCUUUCAAAAUUUUCUGUUUUUAUUUUUUUCAAGUACAUUGAUUUCUAUUAACUCUGUUUAUGUCGGACAGUGUAUGUCAAAUGCAGGGAGCAAUGAGUACUCGUACGUAAUCCAACUCCCUUGCUCUCUUACCUCGAGAAGUUGAUACUCUUGGAACUUGUAGCUGGAUGAUAAGCAAGCAAAGGACUUGAAAGGUGUUAUUAAUCUCUCUGGUUCUCCUUAUGGAUAUUUUUCUCCUCUUGAUCGAGGAGGCCUAUACAACUCACCAAAUAUGGACCAAAUGUUGGCUGUUUACUUAUAAGGUACCGACGUAUCGAACGUUCAACAGACAAGUCUUUGUUGCAGGGGGUGUGCCAACAGACACUACAGCAAGGUCAAAUCCUCCUGGGGAUGCCAGGACACCGAAUAUUACUUGCAUAGGUGGGUUUGGACUACCUCCAGAUAUGGAACGGAUGCUUAGCGGGGCACAAGAUCCUUCCCAAAUGAAUCAACUUCUGCAGAAUCCAGCUGUUGGCCAGAUAAUGCAAAGCAUUCUCCCUAACCAUCAGUACAUGAAUCAGGUGUUGGGACUUGAUCCCCAACUGCGAGGCCUGCUUGAAUCCAGUCCUCAGUUGCGAGAAAUGAUGUAGAAUCCAGAAUUUCUUUGCCAGCUAACCUCUCCCGAGACAAUGCAGGAAGUGACUCAAAUUCGUCCACUCUUGAUGCAUUAGCCGUUUUCAUCUUCCGUGUGCUUCAACGAGAAAAUCACCCUGAAUUCAUCUUUCGUUCACUCAGCCCCUGCUUGGAUGCAACUGCAAAGGAAUUCGUAUCGAUUCAAGGAAAUGUGCAUGCGCAAAGUAGGUUAAGGUUUUCAUAGUUUCAAAUUCAGAAACUUGUGUUUAUAACAUUUUGGAUUUUGCAUAAGUUGUUUAAUCUGUAUGGGUUUAUGGUUCAUCUAUCUAGCUUAGCUACUUUGUUGUGUAUGAAUCGUUUUUGAUGGAUUGUGAUAAUCAAUAAUUGUUCUUUGACCGAUUGUAA